UAUUACGCGGUAAUGUGUGGUCACUUCUGUAAAAGUUAAGAUAGACGUCAAUUGGUCUUGAAGUAUCUACAAAGUCUAGCCAAGAAAUCGUGUGAACUGAUCAUUAAAGUCUCUACACAGACUAGGGCAGAAAUCAAGUCAUGAAUUCUUUUGUUAUUUUUAUUCUGUUUGGAUUUAUAACAGAAUGCCAAGCACUGCCGAGCACGUCCACCAUCUUAGCGGUAGGGCUUCCUUUUGGAGUACUAUUUAUAGUGUGGAUGAUAUUUAUUUGCUAUCGCAUAUAUACCAAACCUACUGAAAGAAUUGUAUCGUCUAGUGUUACAACUGUUUCUAAUAAUGGCCAGAUGUCUACAAUUUCGUACAGCGAUCCAGCUUAUCCACAACAGCCGCUAGCUUAUAAUCCACAACAACCACCAACCUAUAACUAUGCACAGCAACCACCUACCUAUAACUAUCCACAGCAAUUACAACCUUACAGUCCUCAAAUUCCUGGAUCGGAGAACACCGCACCCUACCCGAUUAACCCACAACCAAACGAUACGUCACAAAAUAGCACCCAUAAUCCUAGUAUGUCACAACCACCAAAUCCAUUCAGUAAAGCUGCUGGAAUACAAUAAUAAUUCUGUGUCCAGUAAGAUUCGUAGAUUAUGAUAGACGUUGAUCAUUCUUUAGUAACUGAUAAAGAGUAGAAACUGUAUGUUUACAACGUCAUUAAAUGUGCAUAUAUGUAAGAGUGACGUGUAAAUCUGCCUAUUCUAGGCCUUGUUAUAUAAAUCAUUCUUUAGAAGUUUAUUCAUAUGAUACACCAGGGGGGUUAGGUGGUCUCCGUGGGUUAAAGCAUGCGCGUCAAAUUGGAACGUCAGUCGUUGAGUCAAAUGGUGCGGUUCCGAUUCCUCGCAUGCACGGGACAACGUGUAGGAUCUCUAGUUCAGCCUCGUGGGUUUUCUCCGGGUCCUCCGGUUUCCUCCAACAGAUAAACACUCUUACGCGCAAUCGAAUUAUAGAAAUAAAAAUAGAACUGCAUGUUCGUCCCGAAAUGACCUAGUUUGUGUCGAGUGGACGUUAAACCACAUUUCUCUUUAUGUGUAUAUAUAUUUGAUCAACCUGUAAUUAACUCUCUAGAUCAUCGGAUGGCGGCGAUGUAAACGGAUUGAAACAGGAUCGCCAUUGAAUGAUUUAAUUAAAAAAAUGUAGAAUCGGGUCUGAGUCUCGAUUAACAAGCACAGUUGCUACGAUCAUAAACAAUCUAUGCCACAUUUUGUGAAGACUUCAAGCAGCAUAAGGUAGUUUGAGUGAAAUUUUCAGCAUAUUCAUUUUUCAUUAUCUGUUUUUAAUUAUUACAGCAAGAACGACCAGCCCUUGAUCUAAAUCGUACACAAUGUAUCUUUAAAUGAAUAUUAUAUUGUCUAUAUUUCAACCAAUAUGAGACAUUCGUUCACAGACGCUGGCUCGCUAGCCUGGAGGUCGGGUGUUCCAUCGUUGCAUUGGCUGAGAAAGUUCAUCCAGAUUUUUCAGCAUGGUUUCCCCUUGUCAGUGGUGCAGGACGGAGGGCCUGACAAGGACAGCUGUCUAGUCGUUCGGAUGGGACCAAAAACCGAGGUCCCAUGUACACAUUGGCGUGCACGUAAAAGAUCCCUUGGCAGUUGGAAUUCGAUUUAAGAGUAGGCCGUAGCGCCGCUGCCCGGGCAAAAUUUCCCUCAUAGCACACUGUAUGGUGUAUGCCCGUCUUUAUUAGCCCAGGUUAGGAGCAGAACAGUAGGACGUUAAACCCCAUUUCAUUUCGGAUUCGUUCAUUUUGUUUCUUCUCAAAAUCAAAAUGAUGUUAUUAAAGAUUUAGCCACCACGGCUCCUAUGAAUUAAUAAAAAAAAAUAAUUCAUGCUUUGUUUCAACUUGUGUAUACUUAUACUUAUACAGGUGAUACUUAUACAGGUGAUACUUUUAAAUAAAUGAGAUCUUAAUUGGAGGUCAAUAAAUCCACAAUAAGUACUAGAUAUUUAAUUAAAUUUAUAUUUAAAGUGCAAAUUAUUUUUUAACUAUGAUCAGACUCAAAUUCAGAAGCUGGUCAAAAUUCCAUUAGCAGAGAAGUGAAAUAAAUUGAUAAUAUCAUCAUAGGCCUAUGGCCUAUGGGCUAAAGCCUAUAAUAAACAAUGGAAAUUUCAUUACCUUAUUAAAAUAUACAAUUAAUCAGGACCAUAUAUGUAGUAGAAUUUCACGGAUAUUGUUGUGUUUUUUUUAGUGUCGGAUUAUAAUGUAUAUGGAUCCAUGCACAAUGGUUUGUUAAGCAAAGAAAUACAAGCCAGAAAAUUUAUUUUGACACGCCAAGCUUGAAAAAAUGGCUACCGAUAAAAUCGACUACUUUCGUUUCUUCAAUCGGCUUGGCCACGACGAUACGUUAAUUAGCCUAUUGAUAAACUACCUUUUUAUUAACAAAUCUUAAACUUACCUUCACAAAAAAACCAGAACUGUAUUACGAAUACAAUGUAUUUUUUCGUUUCUUUGCUUAUUUUCUUUGUACCGGUACUAAUCUCCAACACACUUGACUAAAAGUAGUCUCGAACACGCUAGAGUCUAUAGAAGUCUCGAACAAUUUUUGUGGGGCCUAUAUCCUUCCAGCUUCACCCGAAUAGUAGACUCGAAUGUCAAUGAACAUCCACGAUUCUGAGAGAUCGUCAGAAAUGCGGUAUGUGGUCUAAGGGGAGACAACUAUUGGAAAUAUCGAUAUAAAACCGAAAUAUGCACCAGUUGUUAAAAACAACAUAUUUGGGCUGUAGAUCCAAAAUAAAAUCAAGAUAAAAACGAGGUUUUAUAUAUGCCCCAUAAUUUUUGAAUACCCCACAAGAAAGGUCUUAAGUGGAAAUAUGCCCCGUAUAUUACCAAAUAUAUCUUUUUAUAUAUAUAUAUAUAUCAUUUCAUGUUUUAUUUUGAAUAUUUAUAUGUAGUUCUAUUUAUGUUUUAUUUUAAAACUCUGUGAUAUUUGUUUUCAUAUCCAUAUGAAUGUAUUGAUUGUGAAAUAAUUUAUCCUGCUUCACCGUAUGUUUGUCACAGUACACCCCGGCAGUUGAUAUUUCGGUCUUUAUUCUGUUCAACUAGGAUCAUUUCUUCAAUAAACUUUUUGUCCUGUCAUCUUAUAACGAAUUACUACUCGUAAUAUAACUAGAUAUAAAUCCAUGCAACAAUGUCUAUAUAUAGGCCAUGUAUAAUUUAUUUAUGUAACGAUGUCUAUUAUCGUCCCCCGACUUUCGAAGGAAACAGGGGACUGUGAAAAUUGGUUCGUCCGUCUGUCUGUACGUUACACAUUUGGGGACACAAUAACUCUCUUUUAUAUAAUUGAGCUAGAAUGUUUACACUUGGAGUAGGCAUUCAUUAUACCUUGAUGGAGUUCGAAGAUAAGCAUUUUCUGCUUAGGGUAAGCAGAGCGACGAGCAAUUUGAUUGUUCUAGAAUUUGGAACACAAUACCUCUCAUUCUUGGCGUAGGUGUCUAUUCGGUGAAUGCCUUGAUGUAUUUCAAAGAUGAGAAAUUUCUGCUUAGGGUAAGCAGAGAUAAGCAAUCUGAUUGGUUGAUACUUUGGGGCACGAUAACUUUGGUUAUAAUGAAGUGAGAGAGAUGAAACUCCGAAUAUAGAUUCAUUAUAUCAUUACCUUGACUAAGUUCGAUGGCGAGAAUUUUCUGCUUAGACUAAGGAGCGAUAAGCAAUUUGAUUGGUCAAGACUUUGGAACAUAACAACUCUGCUUUUAAUCGAGGUAGAAUGUUUAAACUUGAUGUAGAUGUUGAUUUGGUGAAUGUCUUGGCUGAUUUCAAUGAUUAACAUUUCAAGCUAAAGCUAAGCAGAGCUAAUCAAUUUCAUUUGUCAAUGGUUUGGGACAAGAUAAUCUUGAUUCUAUCUGAUAGAGAGUGAUGAAACUUAGUGUAUAGUUUGAUUGCUCGAUACUUUUGAAAAAAAAACCCCAUAAAUGUGCGAUUAAUUAAUAUGUGUCAUCUAUUUAUUUUGGGAUUUCGGCGGUGGACAUCAGCCUCACUGUUGGCUUGUUAUAUAAUUUAUUUAUGG